CUCCCGGACUGUGCCUCCCAGGAGCGAGAGGGGGACGAGGGUCAUUAAACUCUGUGUCUCCCGUUCCCCAAACACGUCCUGAAGGAAUCGCGGCUGGAAAAAAAGAAGAGCAGCGACUUAUGUUUUAAUUCCUGUGGGGCAUGGUUAGGGAGCAGAGAAGGGCUGUCCUCCUCAUAGACUUUAAGGUCAGAACAGAAGGGAUCAUCCUGCCGCCUUCACAUCACAGGCCACAGAACCUCCCCCACCCACUCCUGUAACAGACCCUGAACCUCUGGCAGAGUCACUGAAUUCCUCAAGUCAUGAGUUCAAGUCACAGAGAAUCCACCACUUCUACUAGUUUAAACCUGCAAGUGAUCCAUGCCCCAUGCUGCAGAGGAAGGUGAAAAAGCUCCAAAGACUCUGCCAAUCUGACCAGGAGGGAAUUCCUUCCCAACCCCCCUAUUUAACCUGUUACUGUUACACCCCUGAGAAUCCUCCCUGCGUUUUCACCCUGUCAUAAACAGAUGGUUAAGGGUUAAUGCCUCUUUUACUUGUAAAGGGUUAAGAAGCUCAGUAAACCUGGCUGACACCUGACCAGAGGACCAAUAGGGGACAAGAUACUUUCAAAUCUUAGUGGGGGGAAGUCUUUUGUUUGUGCUCUUUGUUUUGGGGGUUGUUCGCUCUUGGGACUAAGAGGGACCAGACAUCAAUCCAGGCUCCCCAAAUCUUUCUGAACCAGUCUCUCAUUUUUCAAACUUAUCCCAGAGACAUGAUGUCAUCACAGCCCAAACUUCCCUACUAUGUGCAUUUGGUUUCCCAUACACAGCGACUUGUGCAACCAUGGUGACUGAACAAUGUCUAUCUGCACAGGAGCACUCAACAAACCUGCUCUGGUCCCAGCACAGGGCGGACAGGCCUGGAGCAAGGAAUGGAAGGCAGGUCCUGAACCAGGAUGUUGCCAGGUUCUGUUUUGGGAAUGGGAGCUGCACAGCAGCAGGAGAGAAGCCCCAGACUCUGUGGACAGAGACGUGUGUGGAACAGUCAGACUGCCAGAUGAUACACCUGUGUGCAGGUCUGUAUGGUACUCAUGGAGGAACAGCAGCUGGGCAGGAACCCAGGGCACUGGAGCCCCAGUAAGAGCCACUAACUGAGCUUGACUUGGAACCCUGCAAACACCUAUUUGACUGGAACAGAGACUGGACUCUAGGGGGCACCCCACAGGCAUUAAGUUGGAGUCAUGAAUCAGCAUUCAUGAUGCACUCCCCGUCAGUACCCAGCCCAAGCCAGGGAAGCUAAUGAUCCAAUCAGUGGCCCAAACUGAUGAUGAGUGCUGGUCAUGGGCCACCUGAGACAUGUUGUGCAUAUGCUAAGAAGAAGAUAGAAAUGUGGGGUUGGAGCCAACCUCAAACAGUCAUCUAGUCCAACCCCUUGUGCUGAGGCAGGACCAAGUAAACUUAGACCAGCCCUGACAGGUGUUUGUCCAACCUGCUCUUCAAAGCCUCCAGUGAUGGAGAUUCUACAACCUCCCUUGGAAGCCUGAUCUGGAGCUUAACUACCCUUAUAGUUAGAAAGUUUUUCCUAAUAUCUACCAUAAAUCUCCCUGGCUGCAGAUUAAGCCCAUUAUUUCUUGUCCUAUCUCCAGUGAACAUGGAGAACAAUUGAUCAUCAUCCUCUUUAUAACAGCUCUUAACAUAAUUGAAGCCUGUGAUCAGAUCCCCCCCCCACACACACACACACACUCUCUCUCUCUCCUUUUCUCAGGACUAAACAUACAUUGUUUAACCUUUCCCCAUAGGUCAGUUUUUCUAAACCUUUUAUCACUUUUGUUGCUCUCCUGUGGAGUCAUUCCAACUUGUCCACUUCUUUCUUAAUGUUUGGGGCCCAGAACUGGACACAGUGCUCCAGCUGAGGCCUCAACAGUGCUGAGCAGAGAAAGUGAACUAACAUAAACUAACUGCUGCACACAAUUACCUCGUGUGUCUUACUGUCAUACUGAUGAGUCUUGACGCCUGACUGGACAGCCCCAGGGCCCAAACAAGACCCGCUACCAGACACUUUGCAUUCUAAUGGCCCAAGUCUCUAUAGAUAGCGUAUCUGCAAACUUUCCUGCCAGCCCUAGAAACAUACCCU